AUUACUGGGCGUAAGCGUACGCAGGCGGNCAUUUAAGUCAGAUGUGAAAGCCCCGGGCUCAACCUGGGAACUGCAUUUGAAACUGGAUGACUAGAGUGCGACAGAGGGUGGUAGAAUUUCAGGUGUAGCGGUGAAAUGCGUAGAGAUCUGAAGGAAUACCAAUGGCGAAGGCAGCCACCUGGGUCGACACUGACGCUCAUGUACGAAAGCGUGGGUAGCAAACAGGAUUAGAUACCCUGGUAGUCCACGCCGUAAACGAUGUCUACUAGCAGCUUGGCGCUUAAGCGCUGUUUUGCGAAGCUAACGCGAUAAGUAGACCGCCUGGGGAGUACGGCCGCAAGGUUAAAACUCAAAUGAAUUGACGGGGGCCCGCACAAGCGGUGGAGCAUGUGGUUUAAUUCGAUGCAACGCGAAGAACCUUACCAUCUCUUGACAUCCAGAGAAUUUNCUAGAGAUAGAUUAGUGCCUUCGGGAACUCUGAGACAGGUGCUGCAUGGCUGUCGUCAGCUCGUGUUGUGAAAUGUUGGGUUAAGUCCCGCAACGAGCGCAACCCUUAUCCUUAGUUGCUAGCAGGUUAUGCUGAGAACUCUAAGGAGACUGCCGGUGACAAACCGGAGGAAGGUGGGGACGACGUCAAGUCAUCAUGGCCCUUACGAGAUGGGCUACACACGUGCUACAAUGGCAAGUACAAAGGGUUGCAAACUCGCGAGAGUAAGCGGAUCCCAUAAAGCUUGUCGUAGUCCGGAUUGGAGUCUGCAACUCGACUCCAUGAAGUCGGAAUCGCUAGUAAUCGUGGAUCAGAAUGCCACGGUGAAUACGUUCCCGGGCCUUGUACACACCGCCCGUCACACCAUGGGAGUGGGCUGCAAAAGAAGUA
rnacentral:rRNA from 1 species